rnacentral:lncRNA from 1 species
CUUAGGCAAAGAAACUCGGACGACAACAUGCUCAGCUCCUUCAGAAUUCAGCAAGGAUGUGCCAUGCCAAGUGCUAAACAGAUGCCUUGGUGAGUACAGUGUUGGUUCAGUAACAUUGCCAUCUUGGCCACCAGUCCUGUGGCUCAGGCCUGAAUGAAGCUCAUCUAACACACACACUGUCUGUGUGAGGCACGUCUCAGUCUUCUUGAGCUUAGGAACACUGGACAGCACUCAGCCCCACACUUUCGGGCCAUUGAACAGCAAAAUCAUCAACAACAAGCACAAAAAUUGAAAAAGCAUGCAAUUAAAGAGACCACAGAAGAGACACUUGCUCACAGCCAGAGAGCUGAACCAAGAAGGCAGAACGUCACGUCGGCUGCCUCAGCCAGACAAGUGUGCUCAGAAACUGUGCACGUCCCCGAGUACACUAGAAAGCUCUCUGAAUGUUGAUUUGGGGGUUACAAAUAAAUUUCACUGGUUAGGAGAAUUUACAAAUAUGGAAUCUACAAAUAAUGAGGAUCGACUCUAUUUUGGUUUUGGAAGGUGAUUUGCUGUUAGACGGGGUAAAGUGCCGGGCCAGGACGAUCCUGCUGCAGAGAGCAACACAAAGGCGUCAGGCUGCAGGCCAAGUCUAGAUCGUUCCAUUAUCCUGGGAGGGGGCGGUCACCCAUAUAUUUUCCUUAAAAUACAUACACAGAAAUAAAAUACAUAAAAAUUUG